rnacentral:rRNA from 1 species
UACGGGGGGGGCAAGCGUUGUUCGGAAUUACUGGGCGUAAAGGGCUCGUAGGCGGCCAACUAAGUCAGACGUGAAAUCCCUCGGCUUAACCGGGGAACUGCGUCUGAUACUGGAUGGCUUGAGAUUGGGAGAGGGAUGCGGAAUUCCAGGUGUAGCGGUGAAAUGCGUAGAUAUCAGGAAGAACACCCGUGGCGAAGGCGGCUCUCUGGGACGGUACUGACGCUGAGACGCGAAAGCGUGGGGAGCGAACAGG